UAUUGACAGCAGUAGUCUAAGAAAUUGUGGAUUAAAGACACCAACAGCUAACAGAAAAUGAGACUGUUGUUUUUCCUCGCUCUUGUUCUCUUGGUUGCUAAUGUUAUGGAUGGCGUUACUGGAGACGACACAGGCAAUGGCGGCAAUACCGGGGACAAUAAUCAGGAAACCGAUCCCUACCGAGCAUUAGCAGAGGGUGGAGGAACCCCAUGGCAAAGCUCGGGGAAUCAUCCAUAAUCGUGAAUUUUAAAGGCUCUUAAGGAAAGCAACGGCAUGAUGACAAAUUUCCGAUUGUACGCUUGUGCUUCUUUGGAAUAAAAUAAGAUUAACGUCAACACAA